ensembl:lncRNA novel transcript
GCUCGCCGCGCCCGCCGCCGCGAUGUCCGGGGCCGGCCUAGCCGCGGUGGUGAGCUGCCUGCGCCCGCAGCCCGGCGAGGAGCCGCAGACCCAUGAGGACCUUCUCCUGGCAGCUGCCUAUGUUUUGGAUGCCCAGUACAACAGAAAUGUUCCAUUUGAAACUCACCUCAGGCCAUCAGACGUUACUAUUUUUAUAACCACUAGACAACGCAGGUUGCCGCAUACUUCUUUAUUUGUGUAGACCUCGCUCUUGCCCUGUUUGAAGAGUCUGAGUUGCUUCCCCUGCCUUUCUUGAUAUUUGGGUUCUUGGUCUGGACCAUGGUAGCCGCCACCCACAUAGUAUACCCCUUGCUGCAAGGAUGGGUGAUGUAUGUCUCACUCACCUCGUUUCUCAUCUCCUUGAUGUUCCUGUUGUCUUACUUGUUUGGAUUUUACAAAAGAUUUGAAUCCUGGAGAGUUCUGGACAGCCUGUACCACGGGACCACUGGCAUCCUGUACAUGAGCGCUGCCGUCCUACAAGUACAUGCCACGAUUGUUUCUGAGAAACUGCUG